GAUAUUUCUAAAUUUACCAGACAUUUCUAAAUUUCGAUCCAUUAAAACUUAAAUCUAAUGCCAGUGAUUGACUCAUUCAUUCAUGAUCUGAUUUAUAUGACAUUCUAAAGUUGGCCAUAGUAUUCGCAAAUGAACUAGAAAUAAUGAUGAAUUUCAUCUGCCAGUUCAAACACUAAACACAUCUCAACAGAAAUACAUACCUCAAAUCCUGUAAUAUCGCAUAUUCUCAAAGGUGGGUGCAUGGAGGGUGGUGACUCAAUAUUAACAUCUGUAAGAGGGGAAAAAAAAACAGCAAAGGUAGUUUAAACUCUUAUCAAGCCUAACCUAAUAUCAAUACAAAAUACAAAAACCUUAACAAAGAAAAAUAAAAAAACAACCCAUCUUCAGAAACUUGUUAAAAAAUCCAACUUAAACCAUGCAAUUAAUUUGUUGAACAAUAGGCAGAACACAAGAAUCCUCUAUAAAACCCUCCGGUGCUACCAUUGUACUAAAUAAUCACCAUCCCAUUUUCCGUUCAGAUUUCACCAUUUGUGGGCCCAAACCCACAAAUACUGAAGUAAUGGAAUGCUAAUGCAAUAAUGGAUUCCCUUUCUUCAUCCACAAAUAUCACCAAAGGAUAACUUUUUCAACUAUAAGUCAAACAAAUCACAACCAGACUUCAAAUUAAAGUAAAAAAAAAGAAAAAGAAAAAAAGAGAAGCUAGGAAAUGGCGGAGGUUGUUCUUCAAAGAGGAGCUUACAGUUGGGUUCAUCAGGAGGGCAAUUCUGAUAAUUUUCAGCUUGAAGAAUCUGCCCAAUAAACAUCAGCAAAGUAAGCCCAGCUGAGAAGGAGAGCCCAAUAAAGCCAACGAGCCCAUUGAGCUUUCGUGCUCUUCCUCCAAAACGACAACACCCUUUUUUUUCCUUUUCUUUUUCCAAUGAAUAUGACGUGCCAAAUGAUAUUUAUACAUGCAUAAUCGUCUACCUGAAUUCUUUGUCUAACAAGUUAUUAGUACAAUUCACUGCGAUUUUUAUAACGUUGUUACUGGGAGAUGCUCGGCGAGGCAGAGGAAGAUUGCAAUAUUGAUAAAUCAGGUAGCCCUUCUUCGAAAUAAGCUUUGUAGUGCAACCCUGUUCUUGUGCCAAGGAAUGAUGCUCGGUAUGCAUUUAAGUUUGCUACAGCGACAAUAGUUUCUCAGGUUAGGAAACGGCCAGAGGAAUCUAGUGGUAAGAGGAUUGCUCUUAUUGAGGCUUGUGCUGUUUGUUUUGAGAAUACUGAGGUAAGAGGAAUCUAGUGGUAAGAGGACAAUUCUUGUCCGAAUCUGAAUCUCGAAAUGAUCAUAUCUUUUCGGUUGCAUAGAUAUUGUUUAUCAUGUGUGAAACAACAUGUGGAGGUUACAUUGCUUUAUGAGAUGAUGCAAAAAUGCCAUCAUGAAGGGUGUUAGAUUGAGAUAUUGUGGAAAGUUGCAUCAAAUUCUUGGCACCUAAGUUAAUUGAGACGAUGUGCCUCCGUAUAAACGAAGGUUCGAUUCCAGUUUCGGAUAAAAUUUACUACCUGUAUCCUAAAUGCUCGGCAUUGAUGCCGAAGAAUGAGGUUUCUGAAUAUGCUAAAAGUGCAGCUGCUGCUGGUUUACAACGUUGUGGUCUUAGAAGAUGCAGAAAAUGUCAAACUGAAAUCUCUGGCAACAAGGAACCUAUGACGCCAAUGUGUGAAAUGCAACCAUAUGAUUGUUGAUUUAAACCUACUAUGAAUCUAAAAAUGCAUAAUUGUUAUUACAUGAUGAAUCCUCAAACCUAGAUUGAAGGAUGUGUAGGAGAAAUUACAAGAAACAGCCUCUAUUUACAGUCUGAUACUUUCGUCCUCUGAUUUCUGAAAGGCGCUUAGCAUACUCGGGUAAUUUUAAGCAGUGUUCCCUUGGAAAGUUCCAACAAAAUUCCAUGAACUUGCCACUAAAAUAUCUAAAUCAUCUUUGGGUUCAGUCCAUCCGUAAUUUAAAUUAAAUUAUUGAUGAAAUUAUAAACUGUUUUUUAUGUCGAUGAUAUGGUAUAUUAAUUAAAAAAAUUAUUAAUAAAAAGAUGCUGAUAUAUAUAUAUUUUUAUUUGGGGGUGUCUUUUCUAAUUAUAAAUCCAUCGAUUAUUAUAUUACAAUGAAAUGAUUAAAGAAAUAGCAAUUAUUGAGGAUAAGUUUUUGGAUAAUCAGUUAUUGUUCGUGAUUUUAUUGGUAAAUUACUUUAUUUCUAACUAAAUGUAUAAUUAAAUAAUGAUGGAAUAUUUUGUUGGUAUUAUACAAUAUUUUGAUAAUAGUAAUUGUGAGACAAUUUUAUUGGUGGGGCUGUUUUUUUCUCCCUCUUUUUUUUCUCUCUCCUCCUCUUAAAAUUCACUUCAAUCAUUUAUAAUUUUAGAGUUGUUCACUUAACUAUAAUCUUGAUUUUUUUAAUUAAUUGUUUUGUUCUUGUCACUUUUAUAAAUUUUUUAUUUGGUUUCAAUCUUAUCGUUGAAUUCUAAUUUGUAACAUAUUAUUAUUUUUUAAUUUAAUCUUUAUUAUUUUGUUUUCUUAAUUUUUCUAAAUUUAUUAAUUUGUUCUCAUCAAUGGAGAUUUGGAGUGCUGGGCAAGGGGCAUUCCAGCUUGAUUACAUUUUCGAAGUCCCACAUGGAGUAAAAGGAAAUGAGCUUCCAGCAACCAGCUAUUUUAAAAUGCUAAGCAAACAGCCAUCGAAUUCAAGCAGCCAUGCAUUGAUCACAGAGUGAACUAUUCUUUCGCCUUUUACUAAAGAAUACCGUGUGCUUACUGCAAAUUGUGGACGGUUCUCUUCCUUAUGAGGAGAGCCUGUACAAUUCUAGUUUAAAUGUUUCAAAGCUCUGGAUUGUAUUACUAAAACGACGAGUAAGGAUCUUCCUUAUAGUAGUCUUCUUAUCGAAGACCCAAGGCAUAAGACUGCUGGGAGUCUUAUGCAUCUACAUCGUAUCAUGCUUGCCAUGAAUGCAAUUUUAAGAAUUAGACCUGUGGUGCGCAGCCCCCUGCCCAUACAGCACUACAAUUACAGGAAGAAAUGGGCUAUAAAUGAAUUUCUUGGUGGAAACUGUGCCGACAAAUAAGUAUUCCUGAAGUUUAAGAAUAAGCAACAAGAUCUUAAUCGAACGUGUCAUGGUUUUUGCCUGAUGGAAUCAAACAGUUUAGAGGAAAGACAUUGCACCCCGAUACUAAACAAAAACCAAUUGAUUACCAAGAAAAUAAAUGGCAUUAGGAAAUUUUAAGUUCAGUUCAAAUGCCACUUGAAGCAAGCCAAUCUGACUAGCCACGGCCAGUUUCCAAGCAUUUUCUGGUCUUUUUGUCAACUUUAUAGCAGCAUCUGUGGUGGCACCAGACGAUACUCCCACCUACAUGGAAAAGGACUGGUUUUCAUCAUAAAUGGAGAAAUAUGAUGUCCAUGACACUUCUAGGCAUACCAGCAAACCUUCUUUCAAAGCAAUCAGCUUGUUAGUUUCAACGGCUUCAUCACUUGAUACCUAAUAUGUGUUGGUGGGAGGAACCACUGGUAGUGGCUUUGAUACACUCAGAGGGGAUAAAACACACUGUUUUAUUACAAAAUCCGAAGCUUACAAUUAACACAAAACAAAAGCUUAAUACACGCCCUUUCUCUCUCUCUUUCUCUUUCAAGUGUUUCUCACAAUUCUCUCCACACAAAUAAACACAAGCUGGGCACUCUAUUUAUAGACAAAAUCAGAAUACGAAAAUCUACUGUUCCAGGUGUGAAGGCGGCUGUUGACCGGCGGUGUGAAGGCGGCUGGCGGCUGGCGGCUGGUCGGCGACUGGUGGCUGGUGGCUGGUUGCCAACCUUGACCUUCUAGAUGUUGAGUUUAAUAUUCAACAAAUCUCCCCCUUAAACUCAAUCGAGGGAUGUCAUGCCAAGCAUGGACACUUCUCCUUUCAAUGCCUUCUUUCUGCUUGUAGACCCUUUUGACACCUAUUGCUUUCUUCUUUUCUGGUGGGUCCUUAUCUGCAUGGACACAAAACAGAGUUGUAUCUUCCAUGACCUGAGUGGUAUCGUACAACUCUUCAAGAUUCCUCAUCCUUCUUGGUCCUUCUGAUGAGGAUACUGAUGGUGGUGUUGAUGAUGAUGCUCCUGGUGUGUUCCUCCUGUUGAAUACAGGGAAUCUAUGUACCGGACUUUGUGGUUCAACUGCUGGUAUAAACACCGGACUUUGUGGUUCAGCUGCUGGCACAAUCGGUUCUUCGACAAGUACUGUUGGUACUUCUUCACCUUCAAGGAUCAAAUCAAGAUUGAUCCAUUUGACUGCUUCUUGAUCAUCAUUCCAUGCCCAAGAUUUAUCUUCUUCAAAGAUAACAUCUCUACUCGUAAUCACCUUCUUCGUAAUAGGAUUAUACAGCCUGUAUCCCAUCUUUCUUUCACCAUAUCCGACAAAGAUGCAUUUCUCGCUCUUAUCAUCGAGCUUUCUCCUUCUUGCAUCUGGGAUCUUUGCAUAUGCCACACAACCAAAGACUCGUAGAUGAGUAACACUUGGUUUGUGACCACUCCAUGCUUCUUCUGGAGUGACUCCUUGCAAACUUCUGGUCGGGCAGCGAUUCAACAGAUACACUGCACAUGAUACAGCUUCAGCCCAGUAUUGCUUGGGCAACUUCUUUGCUUUGAGCAGACUUCUCGCCAUGUCAAGAAUCGUGCGAUUCUUCCUUUCUGCUACACCGUUCAGCUGUGGUGUAUAAGCUGGCGUCGUCUGAUGUCUGAUGCCUUGUUGUGUACAAUAGGCUUCAAAGUCAUUUGCUGUAUAUUCUCCACCUUGAUCAGAUCUUACGGUUCUGAUCGUGUAACCAGUUUGCUUCUCCACAAUUGCUUUAAAAUCUUUAAAACAAUUGAAUACUUCUGACUUCCUCUUCAGAAAGUAUAUCCACGUCUUUCUACUAAAAUCAUCAGUAAAAGUGAGGAAGUACCUAUUUUGUCCAGUCGACAUAGGCGUAAUUGGGCCACACACAUCUGUGUGUACUAACUCCAGUGGCCUCUUUGCUCUCCAGUUGACUUCUUUGGCAAAACUGGAUCUGUGAUGUUUGCUGAGGACACAACUCUCACAGACUUCAUCUGGAUGAUCAAUGUGAGGCAAACCUUUGACCAUCUUCUUGCUUGCUAGCAUCUUCAACUUGUGAAAUUCAGAUGUCCAAGCCUCAGGUGCCAAAGCCAUUCUUCACUGUUGGUGAUGGCACUCAAACACCUUGUUGCAUCAUACUGGAUGUUCAAAGGAAACAUCCUAUUCUUGGACAUUUUCACGUAGGCCAUUAAUCUCCCAUUGUUGUCUCUAAUUGUCAGAUGACAAUUCUUCGAGUAAAAAUAUCCUCUCUCCAAAAGUUGACCUAAGCUGAUCAGGUUUGCUUUAUGGCUGGGACAUAAUACACAUCGGCGAUGUAGCUGGAAUCGCCAUUCUUCAACUUGACUGGGAUGUUGCCUUUACCUUUGAAUGGAACCUUUGUGGUAUCUCCAAAAGUAACUAGACCUUGCUUGGUCUCAUCUAGAUCACCAAAUAACUCUCGGUAGCCGCACAUGUGAUUGCUGGCUCCAGUAUCUAGAUACCAUAUAUCUCGUUUCUCGCCAAGUUCUUGUUGGACAAGAAAUGCAGAUGCUUCUCCAUCAUGCUUCUUACAUAGUUGGCUUGCUCACGUGUCUCCAACGGAGCUUUCCAUCGCAUUCAGUGCUAUAGUGCCCAAAUUGCAGCUAUAACAUUUGAUAUUUCUCUUGUCACGGUUAUUGUAACCGCCUCCUCUUCCUCUAGGAGUGAAUGCUUGUUGGCCUCGGCCUCCUCUGGUGGUGUUUCUGCCACCUCUUCCUCUGAAGCUUGUAUUCCAAGAUCCUCUUCCUCUUCCUUGGAAUUUAUGAAAUCCUCCUCUGGAUUGUUGACUUCCUGCUUGAGUGGUGUAGCCACCUGUUGAAGUCUCGCCUUGCUCAUAUCUGUCCUUGAAAGACAGUUUUGCUUGUAAGGCAUGCUCAAUGGCCUUAUCUUCAUUUCGCAUUACAAUCUUCUGCUCAUGAGCUUGCAAAGAACUCAUAAGCUCAUCCACUGUCAACUUGUCCACUUCCUUGGACUCUUCAAUUGCGACAACAACAUGAUCAAAUUUUGGAUCUAUGGAUCUCAAAAUUUUCUCAAUAAUUCGAGUAUCUAUGAUGGCUUCUCCAUUUCUCCUCAUCUGAUUGACUAUCACCAUAAUCCUUGAAUGAUAAUCAGAAAUAGAUUCUGAGGACUUCAUUCGUAAUAAUUCGAAUUCUCCUCUUAAAGAUUGAAGACGAAUCUUCUUGAUUCUGUCAGCACCUUUGUAUUUCUGUUGGAGAGCCUCCCAUAUAUCAUGUGACGUUUCAGCGGAAGCUAUUAUCUCGAAUGUAUCUUCAUCAAGACCUUGAUAGAUGAUGGUCUUUGCUUUGUUGUCUUUCUUUCUGUUGACUUUAAGGACUUGCUUCUGUGCCUCUUGUAAAGCAUCUUCUCUUUCUUUGGACUCUGGUUCAUCAUAACCAGUUUGUACAAUAUCAAAACACUCUUGUGACCCAAGAAAUGCCUUCAAUCUGAUGCACCAAUAGUCAUUUUGCUCUUUUAAUGACUAUAUCGCCUUCUAGGAGCAGAAUUUGACCAAACAGACAUUGUAGAUCGAUCCGGAAUGGUCCAAAUAGUCGGGAACCGGUCUGACUUUGUUGAAAUCGUGUCAGAAAAUAGGUGAACCGGUCCAAAAAACCAAUUCUGUAUGGCGGGCGGUUCGCUGGGUUGAACCGGGAAUAUUCUGUGGAAUAUUCGGAGAAUAUUCUGGGAAUAUUCUCUCGCUCGGCGCGGCUGGAAACGCGGCUCGGUGCGGAGUACGGCGCGGCUGGUGGCUCGGCUUGCGGCUCGGCUUGGACUCGGCGUGAACGGCUCGGCUCGGCUUGAAUAUGGCGCGCGUGCACGUCAGUCGUCUUCAACCUCUGGCGCGCGUCGGCUGCGCGUGGGUGAACAGUGCAGUAUCUUCAGGCGACGCGUGUGGGCUACCCCUGACUUCGAUGAGGCUGAUUUUUGCGGCAGUGAGUUCGUCUUGAUGAGCUCUACACUGUGUAAUGAUCAAAACUUGUUUUGGACAACUUUGAAAAUUUGGAUAUACCCCAAAAAUCUUCUGUUUUCCGACGAACGGGGCUCUGAUACCAAUUGUUGGUGGGAGGAACCACUGGUGGUGGCUUUGAAACACUCAGAGGGGAUAAAACACACUGUUUUAUUACAAAAUCCGAAGCUUACAAUUAACACAAAACAAAAGCUUAAUACACGCCCUCUCUCUCUCUCUUUCUCUUUCAAGUGUUUCUCACAAUUCUCUCCACACAAAUAAACACAAGCUGGGCACUCUAUUUAUAGACAAAAUCAGAAUACGAAAAUCUACUGUUCCAGGUGUGAAGGCGGCUGUUGACCGGCGGUGUGAAGGCGGCUGGCGGCUGGUCGGCGACUGGUGGCUGGUGGCUGGUUGCCAACCUUGACCUUCUGGAUGUUGAGUUUAAUAUUCAACAAUAUGUAAUAGCAGCAACAUGAAAGCUCUGUAAGACAAUAUAUUCCUCAUGAAAUAUUAAACAGAUAAGCUCUUUUAUGCAUGGGUGCUGGGCGCUACGACAAGCUUUGGCGGAGCUUGAUGCCAUCCACCGACUGGAUAAAUAUAACACGCACCGUCCCAUUAAGAUCGUUUGGCUGCAUAAAUUCCAAUGCCUCGACUUCCACUCCGGUCCGACACGGAAUUAGGCACACGCGCGAAAAGUGCAUCUCGAACGACUCUAAUAGCAGCCUCUUCCACCUUGUUCAGCUCAGAAGGCUGAAUCUUGCCGACAACGACUUCAACAACUCUGAAAUUCCUUUUGAGAUUCGAAAUCUUACGAAACUGAACUAUCUAGACCUUUCUUUUAACAGUUUUUAUGGGAAGAUUGAUUUUAUUGCUAAUUGAUUUGAGCUGAGCAAGGCUCUUAUGUGUUGUUUAUCCCUGCCUUUAAUUGAUUAUUCAGCCAAAGUAAAGACGUGAACACGAAGGAAACCAUGUGAAGAUGGAAAAUCAUUUUAUAAACAAACUUCUCAACCACUUGCUUAAAGAACUAUUAAGAUGAUAAGAAAAAGAAAUCUGUUCUUCAUUCAUUUAUGGCCAUGAAUGUAAGAUCUUGGUGUUAUUAUGAAGUUCAUUCGUCAUAUUAUUCUUAAAUCAUUUUCUCCAUGAAAACUAUGAGGGUGGAAAAGUAAACAGGUCAAAUUAUUUAGCUCAUAGGCUAUGAAUUUCUUCUUUUUUUGUUUUGGCGCUUUACGAGAGAAACUGAAGGGGACUUGAUAACUAUCCAUUAUUUGCAGCCACGCAUUCUCUGAACUCUGAAAAAUCUAAACAGAUACAUUAACAUUGUUUUCAAUCAAAUCGUGUUUCAUUCCAAAGUUAUUUGUGAAAGUAAUGCAAUAUCUAAACCAUUCUGUUCAAAGUCUUCGACCCAUCUCCCACGUUCAUCGUAAUCGUUCUCUUAUUAGUCAUUAUAAGAGGGAUAAGAUGGUUGUGGUGGUGAUAGACUCUUCAGAUUUGGCCAAUUAACUUUGGCAAUCGCAGUGGAAUAUUGGAACUGGUUAUGAAUAUUGGAACUGGUUAUCUAGCAAAUUACAUCCUGGUCUGGAUUUUAAUAGAACAAAACAUUCUCAGAUUGGAACUGGUUAUCUAGCAAAUUCGACAAAUUCGCGGUGGAAUUUGGCAAUCGCAGUGGAAUAUUGGAACUGGUUAUCUAGCAAAGUCGACAAAUUCAUGUCGAAGUUAUCGAAUAACUUAUUUACUGAUCCAUGAAUAAACAACAUGAAGUUAUCGAAGACAGAAAAACAGUUAAAGGCAUGCCUUGUGCAAAGAAAUGCACGCAACCUUUAGACCUAGAAGUCCGAAGUAGUAAUUAUUUGAAAAUUCUCAUGCUUUCUUGCUAAUGUUUCUGUAACUGAAUAUUUCGCAAACCCGCAACUACCGCCUUGGCUUUUCCAGAGUACAAAAUCUUUCGCCCCGGCAACACCAGGGUUGGGUUGGUGAUCGUAUUAACGAGUGCUUGAUGCUACAAAUUCAAUAGAAAAAUUUGUCAGCUAACAAGAAAUCAGUACAGCAAAACCAUGAAAGUUAAAUAAUCCAAAUUAGGUACGUUUUUUGGUUGCCUUCCAACAUACAAAUGACUCUAUUAGGUUACAAAUAUGAUUACGGAAGCCUUUGUAAACCAAAUGAUAUUGGAGCUACAAACCACAUCCAUUGCUCUACUUUCGCAUCCACUUCUUGCAGUGUACUUGCUAAAAUCAUUUGCCCUAUAGUAUUACCAUAUCAAGUAUUAAAUGGCUUUUUACGUAAGUUAGGCAUUUGAUGUAUUUUUAUUUUUAAAUACAUGAUAUAAAAUUAUUUACAAAUAAUAAAAAUAUAAUUCAACAUUAUAUACCCUACAUGAUAACUAAAGUUGAGAAUAAGCUUAGGAUGUGCCUUAGCCAGACUCCCCCCCCCCUCUCUCUCUCUCUAUAUAUAUAUAUAUAUAUAACUAUAAGGAUUACAAUAUUGGAAUACACUACAACAUUUAAAAGUUUUAUCGAUAGAUCGAGGUGUGAGAUUACCACUUCGUUGGUAAAUGUUUUACUGACUAAAUCCCCAACGGAAUAAGUCCAUUGACUUAGCUUUCAUCGGUAAGUCCACAUUCUAUCAGUAUUUAUGUUGGUAAAAAAAAAUACCGAUAGUUUUACCAACAUAAAAUGUGCACCAAAAAAUUAUUUCUGCUUAAAAUAUACUGACGAAAUAUUCUGUCGAUGAUAGUGGCAUAUGAAGUAAAUAUUUUUCAACUCUUGGUGAACUGUCGAAGGACUGUAUCCGUCAGUGAAUAUGACAUUUGCAGUAAAUAUUUUGAUUAUAUGAUAAUAGUAGUGGUAGUGGUGGUAAUAAAAAUAAAAAUAAUAAUAUUUUAGUAAAAAAAUAUAAACUUUUGCUCAUUUAAGUUUUUAUUAAUAUUUUGAUUUAAUUCUUUGACAAAUUAUAGAAAUAUUUUCUAUUGAAAACAUAUUUUAUAAAAUGAAAACCUAUUACUCAUUUUUCAAAAUUAUUUUGAUAAAAAAAAAAAUAUAUAUAUAUUCUUAUUAAAAAUGAUAUAGAACAUUUGAGAUAAAAACGAAAAACCUAGAUUGCUAAAAAUCAUAGUUGUUAUGGCAUGAUGAAUCCUCAAACAUAGAUUGAAGGAUGUGUAGGCAAAUUUACACGAAACAUCCUCUACACUUUGAUGCCUUUUAUCCUCUGUUUUCUGAAAUACGCUUAGCAUACUCUGGUCACAUUAAUUGGUGUUCUGGCACUAUAAAAUUCAACUGAGAAUUUUCUGGCCACCUAUUCUCGGCUUUUAGUCAUAUUUAAGUCAUAUUUAGCAGUUUGAAUUGCUAUAUAUUUGUCAGUUGGUUUUUCCAAGUUUAUAUUCUGCUGCAGUGACAAUCAUGUAUUUUAUUGCAGUGCUCUUAUGUGUUGUUUAUCCCCUUCCUUUAAUUGAUUAUUCAGCCAAAGAAAAGCGAGAACACGAAGGAAACCAUGUCAAGAAGGAAACUUCUCAACCGCUUGCUUAAAGAAUUAUUAAAGUGAUAAGAAAGAAACUUCUCAUCCACUUGCUUAAAGAAUUAUUAAAGUGAUAAGAUGGUUGUGGUGGUGAUAGACUCUUCAGAUUUGGCCAAUUAACUUUGGCAAUCGCAGUGGAAUAUUGGAACAAGACGAAGACUUAGACUUUGAAAGAAAUUGACACUACUGCCAGAUGGUCUUUGGAGACGGAGAAUAUUCAUGUGCACUAAACCAGGUAGAAUGAUUUAUGAAAUGGGUGGGGUAGCAGAAAAUAUAGCCGGAAAGGCUAUUUCAGUAGCAGCACCCAAAAUUACUUUUACUCAUUAAAAAGAUAAAUUUAUGGUAAAAUACUUUUGAUAAGAGUAUCGAUAAUAAUAUAUAGUACUAAUUUAAGAGAAAAAUCAAAAACCUUUUACCAUUUUAAGUUUUUGUUAAUAUUUUCAUUUAUCUUUUUUUGAAAACUUUUAAAAAUAUUUUCAAUAAAGGACAGAUAGUUUUUGAUAAAAAUGAAAGCCUAUAUUACUCAUUAAUUUUUUUUAAACAUUGUUUUGAGAAACUUUAAAACAAAAAAAAAUAAAAAAAUUAUUUUUAGCAAAAAUGAUAUAAAAGUAUUUGAAAUGAAAACUAAAAGCCUUUUAUUUUUGUAUUUUUAUUGAAAAAAAUAAUAUUUUAAGAGCUUUCCUUUUAAUUUUUAUUAAAAACACUUCUAUUCUUAUUAUUUUUUAUAUCAUCGAGGAGAUAAUUUUUCCUUAAAAAUACCUUUAUUCGUUAAUUGGUUAAAGUCAAACGGUUAUGCCAUCAAGUAGAGGAAAAAAUAAUAGCUACUUAAUAUAUAUAAUCGAUUGAUGGCUCCAUCCAAUAGAAAUAAUUAGUGAAAAAUCUCCAUUGUUUUCAAUCAAAUCAAUGAAAAAUACAAUACUUUGUUUACUUUUCUACCAGACUCAAUAUUUUUGUCUAUAUAAACUGCUUUAUUUCUCUUAUUUGUUUAUUAAAAAAGAUAAGAGUUUCUUUACUAAAAAAACAUGGCAUCACCUGUGUGUUUCUUAACCAUGCGGAUGCUUUUGCUCUUUUUGCUGUCUUUGUUUCAUCUUAGAGCUUGUUAUUCUUCUCCUUCCAUGCAGCCUCUAUGCCAUGAUGAUGAGAGUCAUGCCUUGUUGCAGCUCAAGGAAAGCCUUGUCAUUAAUGAGUCUACUUCUUAUGAGACUUCUGCCUAUCCGAAGGUUGCAUCAUGGAAAGUUGAUGGAGAAAGUGGUGAUUGCUGCUCAUGGGAUGGUGUUGAAUGUGACGGAGACUCUGGUCAUGUGAUCGGCCUUGACCUCAGUAGCAGCUGCCUUUAUGGUUCCAUCGACUCUAAUAGCAGCCUCUUCCACCUUGUUCAGCUCAGAAAGCUGAAUCUUGCUGACAACGACUUCAACCACUCCAAAAUCCCUUCUGAGAUUCGUAAUCUCUCAAGGCUGUUUGAUCUAAAUCUCUCAAUGUCUGGCUUUUCUGGUCAGAUUCCAGCAGAUAUCUUAGAGCUUUCCAAGUUGGUUUCCCUUGAUCUGGGAUGGAAUACUUUGAAGCUCCAAAAGCCUGGUCUGCAACAUUUAGUUGAAGCAUUAACCAACUUGGAGGUGCUCCAUCUCAGCGGAGUCGAAAUAUCAGCCAAGGUACCUGAAAUCAUGGCAAAUUUAUCCUCUUUGUCAUCUCUAUUUCUCAGGGAGUGUGGAUUGCAAGGAGAGUUCCCCAUGGGUAUAUUCCAAUUACCCAACCUUCGCUUUCUUAGUAUCCGGUAUAAUCCAUAUCUCACUGGAUAUUUGCCGGAAUUUCAGUCGGGCAGCCAGCUUGAAAAAUUGCUGCUUGCAGGGACGAAUUUCUCUGGUCAGCUACCAGAGUCCAUAGGAAACCUCAAAUCUUUGACAGAGCUUGAUGUGGCUGAAAGUAAUUUUUCAGGGGUGAUGCCAUCUUCACUUGGUAAUCUUACAAAACUGAAGUAUCUAGACCUUUCUGAUAACUUUUUCUCUGGGAAAAUCCCUUCUACUUUUGUCAACCUUCUUCAACUUACUUACCUGUCCCUUUCUUACAACAAUUUCACAUCUGGAACCUUGCAUUGGCUCGGUAAUCUAACCAGACUCAAUUAUGUUGACUUGGCUAGAACCAAUUCAUACGGUGAGAUUCCAUCCUGUCUUGGAAACUUGACUCAGCUCACCAUGUUAGAACUCGGUAAGAAUGAAUUAACUGGUCCAAUUCCAGAAUCUAUUUUUUGGCUUCCAAAUCUUGAAACCCUUGACCUACAAAAAAAUUUCUUCAGUGGCACUGUAAAAUUUGGCCUUCUUAAGUCAAGAAGCCUUGUCUCCUUCCAAUUAUCUGGCAACAAUUUGUCUGUGGUUCAUUACCAUAAUGAUAGUAUUGCUCUACUAAAAUUUAAAACUUUAGGUUUGGGUGGAUGCAAUUUAUCAGGCGAGUUUCCAACCUUUUUACAAAGUCAAAAUCACUUGGAGUUUUUAGAACUCGGUGGUAACAAAAUUGAGGGGCACAUACCAAAAUGGUUUAUGAACUUGGGCACCGAAACUCUUGUGUAUUUAAGUCUUGGAGGAAACCUUCUAACAGGUUUUGAGCAACCCGUUGAUGUUCUCCGAUGGAAUAAUCUAAAAAUAUUGGCACUUGAACAGAACAAGCUUCAAGGAGCCCUUCCAAUCCCACCGCCUUCCAUAAUAUCUUAUCUUGCCUCAGACAACCAGUUAACUGGGGAAAUCGCACCUGCAAUCUGCAAUCUGACAUCUCUUUUUAUCCUCCAGUUGUCUCAUAACAAUUUCAAUAGCAAGCUUCCGCAAUGUUUAGGAAACAUAAGUAACACUGCUUCAGUAGUCAUUCUCCGAAAUAGCAGCUUCAUCGGUGACAUUCCUGAAGCUUUCUCAAGUGACUGCACAUUGAGAGCCAUCGACUUCAGUCAAAACCAAUUGGAAGGGAAGAUACCAAAAUCAUUAGCCAAUUGUACCAAGCUAGCGAUUCUCAAUAUUGAACAAAACAAGAUAAAUGAUGUCUUCCCUUCAUGGUUGGGUAUUUUGCCAAAGUUGAGGGUUCUGAUUUUGAGAUCCAAUGGGAUCCAUGGCGUGAUUGGGAAACCUCAAACUAAUUUUGAAUUCCCGAGGUUACAGAUUGUUGAUCUAUCCAAUAAUAGUUUUUGGGGUAAGUUGCCAUUCGAAUACUUUCGAAAUUGGGCUGCCAUGAAAACUAUCCAUAAAGAAAACCCGUUGUACAUGCAAGUAGCCUCAACUUUCCAAGUAUCAGGGUAUAGAAUAUUUUAUGCUUUUGACUACGCAAUGACAAUGACCAAUAAAGGUGUGGUGACAAAAUAUGAGAAGAUCCAAGAAUUUCUCACAGCUAUUGAUCUUUCAAGAAAUCGUUUUGAAGGAGGAAUUCCAGAUGCCCUUGGAGAUCUCAAAGAAUUGUAUUUGCUCAAUCUCUCCAACAACUUUCUCACUGGUGGCAUCCCUCCAUCCUUGUCCAACUUGAAAGGGCUUGAAGCUUUGGACCUUUCUCAGAACAAACUCUCGGGAGAGAUUCCUGUCCAACUUGCACAGCUCACCUUCCUCGCGGUCUUUAAUGUGUCUCACAAUCUUCUAUCAGGUCCAAUACCAAGAGGAAACCAAUUCGAGACAUUUGACAACACUUCAUUUGAUGCGAAUCCAGGAUUGUGUGGAAACCCUUUAUCAAAAAAAUGUGGAAAUGGCGAGGACUCGCUGCCAGCUCCCAAAGAAGAUGAAGGCUCGGGAUAUCCACUUGAAUUUGGUUGGAAGGUGGUGGUGAUAGGUUAUGCAAGUGGAUUGGUAAUUGGAGCCAUUCUUGGAUGCGCUAUGAACACAAGGAAGUAUGAAUGGGUGGUGAAGAAUUACUUUGUGAACAAAGGUCAAAAUUUGAAGACUCGCCUGCGUAGAAAUUGAUUUCUAAUUAUUAGGAUGUUUUCCAGUUUGUUGUAUUAUCUCGUAUUCUCGUAUUUCCUCUUCCUUCUCUUUUUUCCCCCCCCUUAAUUUUCACUUGUAAGGUUAAGAGUGAAUUUCUCUUGGAUGGUCCAUGUAACGUGUUAAAAAUAUCAUGAUGAUGUCUUUAAAGUAAUUAGUAAUGUAACAUAUAUAUAGUAUGUUGAAUUUUUGUGUAAACUAGUAGUCUAGAGUACGAAUUUUAGAUGAAAAAAAAUCUUAAUAUAAUUCGUGCUGCUAUAAUAUGUGACACCCAGGAAUGAUGACAUGCGGAAGUUAAAGAUAAUAACAAAUAAAGAAAAAAAGACAAGAAUUUUAAUAAGCAAAAUGGACUGCAAAUAUAAAUCUUAAAUUCACGGGUUUUAUUUUCUCUAAAAUAACAAUAAUAAAAUCUACCUCCUUAGGAGGUUUACACUUAAAUAAGUCAGAAACUCUACCUCAACUAGGAAUCAAAAAUAAAAAUAUGAAAUUACAAAGGAAAGAAAUAAAAAAUCUAAAAAUAGCAUGAAAUAAAAAAAUAACAAGAAAAAUAACAAAAAAGCCAAAAAUAGGAGCUCGGUGCUAGAUUUUCAAAAUCUAAGGAUCUGAUGGUCGGAGUAGCGAUUCCAUACGACUUAAAGGAAAAUGACCUCCAAUCACUCUUAUAAAAAUUUGAGUGCAAUCUAAUGGUUGAAUUAAAAGUUAUGACUCUUAUGAGCUGUUAUUCUAGUAUGUCAUAAUCAGAUCACUUUUUAAGCCUAGUUUUAUCCCACUAGUUUAUAUUUGUUAGGUCAUUUAUGUAAUUUAUUUGAAACAAAUUCUCAUCUAGUUAUGAUAGAUCCACACCAGACUACUCAAAAUUAUUUAUUAUCGCUAGCCUGACUAUUUUAGUUGCGUGUGUCGACAACAACUAUUCUCCGUACUCUUAUUAAUGGUAAAUUUGUUUAUCAUUUUUUUCUCAUGUCAUUGUGAGCCAUGUAAGAUUACUACAGGCAACAAAAUAAUAAAGCUAUAUAAUUAAAAAGAUAGUUAUAGUUAAAUUGUCCAAUAAAGGGAACCAAUUCUCUUAUCUAGCUAAAAUCAAUUUCAAAAUCAACCAUGAAACCUUUUACAUUUGUUUGAUAACUUCAAACAUGUUAAAGCAGUUUUAAGUCUAUAAUUAUGCUAUGCAUAUGUUUAAUAACUGGUAGAACAACAAUUUGGUGCUCUGAUUUUACACCAACGUUUUUUUUUUUUUUGCCGAAAUCCUUAUUUUAAGAUUAAUUUUUAGGUGUUUUAUAUCAUAGGUAAUGGGAGUAUUCUAAAAUCUGAAAGCCAAUGUUCGACAAGACCCAAGGUUUCUUUUCUGAGCUUUUUUAUUUAUUUGCUUUUUGGGCCUGAGAGAUUAACGAGACUUCCGGUUUUUAUUAAUUAUUUGAUUUUCGAGGUAAUCACAACUUCUGAUUGAUGAUGGACUAAGCCUCAAUCUUGGCUCAUGAAAUGGACUAAUAAUCUGUCAUUGGCUCCAAAGCAGAUUAAUGAUUUAUAGGGCUUUUUUGGAAGUUAAAAAACAUAGCUAGAUUUUCUCUGAUUUUUUCCUUCUUUUUAUACUUGAAAAAUAUUUCCAAUGUAAGUUAUUGAUCAAAUACCAUUAUGCCCUCCAUCUUAGUUAAUUAAAUUGGCGAGAAAGAUUGAUAUUGAAUGACAGUUUGAUAACAUUAUAGAAUACUGUGCUAGCAUAGAUCUCUUAGUUAUGGUUGCAGAGUGAAUUUUUGUCAAAGCGAAACAUGAGCUUUGUCAGUAGUAACAAUUGCAUUGAUUCUGCUUUGCUGGCUUUGAUGGAGCAAAUGUUUUAGGAAGUGAAAAAAGAGCAGUCUGGUGGAUUUACAACGGUUCGGCAAUGUUCAAAAUGGAAGUAGAAUUACAUUAACAACUUCAAAAGUGAUCCUAUCAUCAAACCUAUCACCCAAAACGCACGCAAAUGAAAUCUAACUCACGCACUACAAAAAAAACCCAUCACAGCUCUGAUACGGCCCCAACUGAGCAAGUUGAUGCGGUGGGCAACCAUUGGAUUCAGAUGUUUGAGUUUUGGUGUUCUGUCACCAAAUUAUGGCAAUGCAUUAUUGAUGUAACCAUAUUAUUUGAUAGUUUCACACGCAUUUAACUAGUGUUUUGCCUAUCUUAUUUAUAUAAAAUGCCUUGAUAUUCUUUGUUUUAUGUUUUGAAGGCACUUUUGAAUGAAAGAUAUAAAAUUCAAUAUCUGGAGCUUCAGAUGUCCAAUUGAUGCAAACUCAAUUUUGUUGGAUUCCUUACUCAAAGAUCUAUAAACUCUCCAAAUUUCAGCCAAAAAUGAUGUCAUAUGAGGGAGAUAUGAUUUUUAAAAGAUGACCGCUGAAUUCUGCCAGCAAGCAGGUUGCGUGAAGAAACGAAUCCAAAUUUCAUCCAGAAGCAUCCAAACCGACCAGCAAUUUAGCUCCUCUAGUAAAUAUUCUAGAAGGUCAAGAAAGGUAGCCACCAACCUCAAGGCAGCCAAUAGCCAGCAGCCAGCCACCAACCUCAAGUCAGCCAGCCACCAGCCACCUUCACACUACCACCAUCUAUUGAUGUUCACACUUGAACUUUGAUUUUCUUACUUACAAUUUGUGUAUAAAUAGAGGGAGAGGAUAAGGAGGUGGCAGCAAGAAGUGAGGAAACACAAACUCUCCUCUCUACAAAUUAGAAAUUAUGUAUUCUUUCAUCUUUAGGAGUAGUUGUUCAAUAGAUAUGCAAGGCUAAGCUCGUUUUCUUGGUUGCAAGGACACAACAAACCUUCGGAUUUCAAGAACCGUGAGAUUUAUUCUUCCUUUUAUUUUCAGUUUAUGUUAUGAAUGAGUAUGUUUGUUUUUCUAUGCAUAUUUCCUAUGAUUGUUUAUCUUAAUUGCUAGAGCGGACUCUAAGUUAUUAUUGUGAACAAUCUAUUGCUAAGUUUGAUAUCAAAACCGGAGUUGUGGUAUAUAAACUUGUGAAGCAACUAAGCUUGAUAAUUGUAGCGGAACUACGUUAUUAAACUUAGGGAGAACAUUCGAUCAUAGCAACACAAAUUGACAACUUGGUUGUUAAGAUUAAUGAAUUUAUCUGGAUCUUAAGGCUGCCAUUGGAUUAAAUCAUUAGUGCGGACACUGUGAUUGUUUGUUGGUUAGGGCUAGUUAUACGGCGGAUCCGUUAAUUAACCAAUAUUAAGAAAAGAUAAAAUUCAUAAUAUAAACUAGAGUUUCGUUUGAAGGAUCGGUUCUAAUUUCCGUUGGUGGAUGUGUGCUUGCAACCAAGGUUUGUUUUCUUGAUAUAUUUCAGUUUCAAUUGAUUUUGUUUGCUAGUUUAAUUUCUGCCAUAGUUUAAAUCAUUGCAAAUCAAACCCCCCCAUUGCAUAACGUAUAGCAUAAAAAUCUGAAUUAAACCUUCCUCGUGGGAUCGACCUCUUGCUUGCUCUAUACUAUCUUGUGUGUUUUAAGCUAGGGUAAUUAAUUUGUGCGACCGCAACAUCGCAACAAUUAUAUGCAUAAUGAUGGACAACUCAUAAUAAUCUUCUCACUCAAAGAAAGUUGAUGAGGUAUUUAAUUCUGGAAAUUUUGAAACUUUAAUCCUCAAUUCCACUGAACAAGCUAAAGAACAUAUGACUGUAGAAAAGCUUAAGCUCAACCAAACCAUACACAAAAAGUUCAAUGACAGCAGGUGUAUCUUAGCUGAAUAGCAGGCAAGGAAUAAAAUGCAGAUUAUCAUUAACAGCUGAUGAUUCUCUCUCAAUUUGAGACCCCCAAAUAUUCAACAAGCAAGGUUUUGACGCACAAAGUAGGAAACCCAGUAUUUAAUUGAAGGCUACUAGGAAACCUAGGUUCUAGUCUUGUCAGAGAUUCACGGGUAAGGGACUGGUUGUGGUUAAGGAAGGUAUUAACACCCCUAAUGUACCCUACCUGAGGUAAGCUGCUUCAUGGACUUGAUGUGUUAAAAAAGUUUUACAAAUUUUGUUCUUUCAUCGAAUUUUAGAAAUACGACUUAUAUGUAAGUUCACAAUUCUUUAUCCGUGAGCAAAUCAAAUAUUAAAUUCUUCUUUAUUCUUGCAAUUUUAUCAUAAAAAAAAACAUACAUAAAUAAAUAAAUGAAAUCCAAACACACACUCACUUUUACUACAUAUUUUUUUGUUUUGUUUUUUCUUUUCUUUUCUUUUACAUCCACAUUUACAAAGUAAAAAUUAUAAAAAACUAAAAAAUAAACAAAUAUUACAUUAAACAAACUUAAAGUUACAAAAAAACAAUCCCUCAAACAGAAUCAGGAACAGUGUAGCAAGCGUCGCCACGAGAAAAACCCAGCAACAGGGGGGAUCUGGAUCGACUUCUUCCCCUCUUAUUUUCCUCGCCGGCGGUGACAACCCUGACCUGCAAAACAACAGAAAACACAACCAAGGGAGUUGAUUUUUAUUUUGUUUCACUGAUUUCAGAUCUACCUCUCUCCAUACAACUCCCUUUCUUUUCGUCUCCUCUCCUUCUCUGUUUCAGGUGCUCGACGGUGUGACCGAAGGGCUGCUGGCGACUGGGUCUUUGUCACGCCUGUACAGCUGGUGGUGGUUGGCGAACGCUGGAGGUGGAUGUUCUUGGUGGCCGAGAGGACAACAUAUUCUACACGCACCGCCGACAGACCAGACAUGUGGAGCUUCCCUCCUCCUACUUCAUUUCUGCGCCGGCGGUGUCGUCCACCGUUGCCUUGGUUGGGAGAUUGGUGUGCUAUGGUGGGGUCUGUCGGUGGAGACCAGUCUUGGCGGACUGGCCGGUUGAUAGAGAGCAAAAAGCUGAUGAAGACCGCAGCUGGGGGGAGAAGGGUGAUGACCGGCUUGAUGUGCUGUAAAAGAGAAAGGGAGAGCAGUGGCUUGUUUUGUGGCCGACUGUUGUGUCUGGUGAGGGGAGGAAGGUCGACUGUCGCUAGUUGAGGGAGGGAAAAAAAAUCAAAAGGGGAGGUGGGGGGCUGGCAGCUCCUUUUUAGUGAGGGAGAAGAAAAGUUCAGCCUUUUUUAGGGUUUUUUCAUUUUUUGUGUUGCCUCCCCAAAUUGUAAAAUUGCCCCCCCUUUUAUUUGAGUUUUAGACCUCUAUUUAUAGGUAAAAUAUUGCCUGGGCCUCAAAAUUCAUCCCUCAACUUUUUGUUUUUUGUAAAAUGUUGACUUUUCUUGUUUUUUUCUUGUGUUUUUUUAAAACGAGCAAUAUCAACGUCGAUUCAAUGAGGAAAAUCAAUGAUCUUAAAAAUGACGCGUGAAAAGUCGAACACGUUCGAAAAACCUUUGAAAAUUUAAAUUCUUUUCUAGACGACGUUGAAAAUGCUAAAAACGAUGCAAAUAUAUUAAAAACAUAUUUUUUGGAUUUUCGUUGUUUUUUCGCUAUUUUUAGAUUUUUCAAAAAUAUUAUCAAAUAGAUGGGUCAAAAAUUAGGUAACAACAAAUGCCACCUUUUUACAAUGCUUACGAAGCAAAACUCAAUAUUUUGCAUAAUAAGCUUUGUAAAGAAAACAAAAGGGAAAUGAUCUCAUUAUUUUGGGCAACAUGCCCCUUUUGAAGAAAAGUGGCCUAUUUUUAGGGUCGACCAACCCGCACACUCACACUGAUCUAUUUUCACGGGCGACUUGCCCAUACAUACUCAAAGUGGUCUAUUUUCAGGGGCGACCAGCCCGCACACUCACACUGGUCUAUUUUCACGGGCGACCUGCCCACACAUACUCACACCGGUCUAUUUUCACGGGCGAUCUGCCCACAUACUCACACUAGUCUAUUUUUACGGGCGACCUACCCUUUUGAUUGGGUUUACUUGAGAUCCCAUCUGGUGAUCUAACAAGAACAAAAAUCGGUGUGUAGCUUGGUCAACUUGAAGUCUCAUCAAGCGAUUCCCUUUAACCAAAGUGAAAUUCUGCGUGGUUAGGCUAAACUGAGAUCCCUUCGUCGAUCCCUUUUAACCAAAACCAAAAUCCUUUGUAGUUAGGCUAAACUGAGAUCCCUUCACUGAUCCCUUUUAACUAGAACCAUAAUCCUAUGAGGUUAGGAUAAACUGAGAUCCCUUCGCCGAUCCCCUUUAACCAGAACCAAAAUCCUGUGUGGUUAGGAUAAACUGAGAUUCCUUUCGCCAAUCCCUUUUAACCAGAACCAAAAUCCUGUGUGGUUAGGCUAAAUUGAGAUUCCUUUCACCAAUUCCCUUUGUUGCUACCCAUUUUUUGACCCAUGUUUCGACAUAUUUUCAGAAAAAUUUCAAAAAAUAGAGAAAAACAAAGAAAAUCAAGAAAAUAUGUUUUUUAUAUAUAUUCUCAUCAUUUUAGCAUUUUCAACGUCGUCUAAAAAAGAUUUUAAUUUUUCAAAAGAUUUUCAAACGCGUUCGACUUUUCACGCGUCAUUUUUAAAAUCAUUGAUUUUCCUCGUUGAGUCGAUGUUGUUUUUGCUCGUUUUCAAAAAAUACAAAAAAAUAAGAAAAAUCAAAAUUUUUUCAAAAAAAGAAAGAAAAGAGGAAAAGAGAAGGAAAAGGUGAGGGACUAGUUUGAAAACCUAGCAAAACAUUUCCUAUAAAUACAAUGCUACACUGAAUUUCUAAAGGGGAGGGUGGUCAUUUUGUAAAGGGGGCAAUUUUGUAAAGAGGGGAGAAACACAAAAAAAAAAAACCCUAAACUGAUCUCUACCCAAAGGCAGCCGCCGGAGCCCCCCACCCCUUUGAUUUUUGAUUUUUCUCUUCUUUCUUCCCCCACCCACAGCUCCCUCACACACAGCCUCCACCCCGGAGCCAUUUUUUUUCUUCUCCCAGCCGACACCAACCUCCCCUGCAUGCCGGCCCCCACUUCUUCUCCCUUACCCGACCAAGACCUCCUCUGAUUUUCCACAGACAGCCACUUUUCUCCUUCCAGCCUCUGCCACCGAUCUAUCCUUCCUUCUCCCAGCACCGUGACCGGCUAGCCUAACAGACGACAGUAGCAAGACCCACGAACAACGGCAGCGGGCGAUCUUCCAUCUUCAACCGGCGACAGACCCACGGUCUUCUUCAUCUCUCCACCACCGGCCACCGAACAAGAGCUUCAACAGCCGCGGAGCAACCGCCCGAUCUGCCACCCGAAGCAGAGGAGGAGAAGACGAAACCCAGCGCCCACCGAAGCCAACCGCUCCUCAGCUCCGACCGGCUUCUCUCUCUCAGCCACCGUGGACAGACCCGAUCUCCUCAGCACCGCCAAUGAGCUCCUGCUUCAAUCGACCACCGACAGCUCCUCCUCCACGACCGAUCUGCCACCGAAGAAGAAGAAGAAACACAUACAGAUCUGUUAAAAAGAAGAAAAAACCGAAGCAGAUUUUUAAACAAAGAACACAAAAUAAAAAUCAACUACCUGUUGUGUGCAUUUUUUGUUAUUUUUCAGGUCACAGCAUCAUCGCUGGUGAGGAGGAGAAGAAGAGAGGAAGCCGUGGCUGAUCCCCUGCUUUUUCUUCACGGCGGCGCGUGAAUCCAUGCUCCAUGACGGUGGGGCGUGGAACAACGCGCCACCGCUGUUCCAGCAGCUCCAGAAGUCGUCCUGCCACUGUUCAGGGGUGUUUUGGGGUCAUUUUUGUAAUUUCCGAAUUGUUUAAUGUAAUAUUUAUUUAGUUUUGAGUUUUUUUUUUGUAUUUUGUAAAUAUGGAAGAAAAAAGGAAAAGAAAGAAAAGAAAAGAGAAAGUGAUAAAUAACAAAAAAAAAAAAGGAAAUGUUUGUGUGUGCUUGUAUGUUUGUUUUUAUUUAUUUAUGUUAUUGAAUAAAAAAUAAAAAAAAGGACAAAAAGAAUUAAUUGUUAAUUUAAAUAUGGUUAAAUAUCUCAAGGACAAAUAAAAUCAAGUUGUAUUUUCCAUGAAAAUGUAAGAACAAGUUUUUACAUAUAUUCGAGGAUUUAAUAACUGAUUUAUUCAAGCCUUAGAAUUUAAUUAAUAUUUUAAAUUUUAAAAUCACAUCAGAACAUAAAGCAGCUUACCUUAGGUAGGGUGCGUUAGGGGUGCUAAUACCUUCCCUAACCACAACCAGUCCCUUACCCGCGAUCUCUGACAAGACCAGUACAUCAGGUUUCCUAGUAGCCCUCAAUGAAUUACUAGGUGGCGACUCCAACGAACCAAAUUCAAAGCAAAUGCAACAACUACGAUAAAAAUCGCCAGCCGAUAUCGAUGCCGCGGGCUGUAUUUUUUUGGGGUGCGACACCCUUUAACCAGAACCAAAAUUUGUGUGGCUAGGAUAAACUGAGAUCCCUUUGUCGAUCUCCUUUAACCAGAACCAAAAUCUUGUGUGAUUAGGAUAAAUUGAGAUCCCUUUGCCGAUCCCCUUUAAUCAGGACCAUAAUCCAAUGAGGUUAGGCUGAACCGAGACCCCUUCGCUGAUCCCCUUCAACCAAAACCAAAAUCCUUUGUAGUUAGGCUAAACUGAGAUCCCUUUGCCAAUCCCUUUCAAUUGGAACCAAAAUCCUUUGCAGUUAGGAGAAACUAAGAUCCCUUCGCCGAUCCCCUUUAACUAGAACCAAAGUCUUUGUGUGGUUAAGCUAAACUGAGAUCCCUUCGCCGAUCCCCUUUAACGAGAACCAAAAUCUGUGUAGUUAGACUGAACUGAGAUCUCUUUGCCGAUCCCCUUCAAUCGGAACCAAAAUCCUUUGUAAUUAGGCUAAACUGAGAUCCCUUCGCCGAUCCCCUUUAACCAGAACCAAAGUCUUUGUAUGGUUAAGCUAAACUGAGAUCCCUUUGCCGAUCCCUUUAACGAGAACCAAAAUCUGUGUGGUUAGGCUAAACUGAGAUCCCUUCGCUGAUCCUCUUCAACCAUAACCAAAAUCCUUUGCAGUUAGGCUAAAAUGAGAUCCCUUCGCCGAUCCCCUUUAACCAUAACCAAAGUCUGUGUGUGAUUAGGCUAAACUGAGAUCCCUUCGUCAAUCCCUUUUAACCGUAACCAAAAUAUAUGUGUUUUGGCUAAACAGAGAUCUCUUCGCCGAUCCCCUUUAUCCAUAACCAAAAUCUUUAUGCAGCUUGGUCAACCUGAAAUCCCAUCUAGAGACUCUCUUUAACCAAAGCUAAAAUCUUCAUGGUGGUUGACCUGAGAUUCCUUCUGGCAAUCUCUUUUAACAAAAAAAUAUGUUUCUUCUUCAAGAUGAUUGGGUUCGAUUUGAAGACUCUUCCUCGUUGAUCUUCUUAUUUCUUUGAGAUUUCCCUAAUGCUAGGGCUUAUCUCAUCUUCCUCCUGUUCCUGGGUCAAAACCAUGAUUCUUCGUUGUUCUUCAAAUCAAUAAUUCUUUCUUUGUCCCCAAUCUUGCUGGACUAACGAGAAUUUUUCCUACGACAAAUCAAAAAUAUAUGCAAUGCUUUGACAUUAGAUGACAUGCAUGCAUCCUUACCUAAUUUGAAAUAUAGGUCCCCCCUUCUUCAAUGUUCCAUCAUCACAGGGUGCCUUCGUUUGUUAUUCAAAGUUUUCUUUAUGCUUUCAAUGCAUUGAUUUAUUUAUGUGCUAGCCUUCCACUUAGAUGUAAAUGCAGUGCCUAUCGUGGGUCGUCCAUGACUAUUACUGCUCUCAUUGCUUCUCAAGAUUUGACCAUGCUUCCAUGUGUGAUGUAGCUUGAUUCCAUGAAUGAGCUUAUCUCCUGGAUUCUUCCAAGAAUUGUUCUUUGAUUAAAUAUGUGCAUCGUGCCAAAUGCCCAUUAAAAUUAUCAAUCAUUCAUGAAUUUGCCUAUAGUUGAAACAAUACUCUUUAAGUACCUGUUAUCAUCAGCCUUUUUGGAAAUCAUCCAGUCAUCCAGUCAUCCAGACAUGCAUUUCAUAACUUGCAGUACAAAGGCUCAUGGUUGUAUGCUUAGUGUUCUUCUCAAUACAUUCCCUUCAACUCUUCUAAUCAGAUUGUGAAAAGAAAGGUCUCAGCCUCAUCAAUGAUGUUGUUUUUAUCACACAUACUCAUGCGGUGAAGUGCUCAUCUAGCUUCAAAACAAAUUGUUCCAUAGUUAGUCUUUGAGGUGGGUGCCUUUCCGAUGUUCAUUUAAUGCAGUUGUGUGAUAACAUCUGUCGAUAACCAUGUUUCAAAGGAUGACAAUAUGAGAUUGUCCUUCAAGUGCAGCAUUGUUCCACAGUUAGUCUUGGUGGUGUACAUCUUUUCGCCAUUCAAUUACAUUCAUUCAUGUAUCCUCAUCGAUUGCUAGCCAUGUUUCAAAAGAUGAUGAUAUGAAAGUGUCCUUUAAGUACAUCCUUGUUUCUCCAUUGCCGACAGGGUUCACUAGAGCAUGGGCUAUUUUGGAACGACAUUGCCCCCAGUAUGAUCUGAAUGUGCUCGUUCAUUGAUUAUCUUUCUUUGAACAUCAUUGUCUUCAGUUCACUGAUUCAUCAUUUAAUCAUCUUUCAUUGCCUCAUAGCUGAUCUGAAUACUGCUUGUUUUUCCUUUUCAAGGUCACUGUAUUGCCCCCAGCUGCUCAACUUUUCAAGGAGUGUCGAGGACUUCAAUGUCAUUUCUAUCAAGGAUUUCUGAGACUCAACCAAUGUUCUUUUGUGUCCGAUAAUCUUCCUUGUUUUGGAAUCAACUCUCAUAUUUCAACGAUUAUGUCUGUUCAAAGUCUAGUUUGUUGAAAUGAAAUCAGAGAUGUCCUUUUUUAGAAAGACCUUUUGAAAAUCAAGCUUUUUGAUCAAAGACCCAACACAUGUUAUUCGAAAUACACAGUCCUUUGAUUGUCAUGCAUUUUGAAAACAGAAAUUGACCUGUUGUAAGACUAAAAUGACUUUCUCCUUCUUUUUUUUUUUCAUGGGUCUUUGUAUCCAUUUUUAGACUCUGAUUUUGGGUAUAUAUUUUGAUGGUCUGUGAUGAGGUGACUGACAUGAUCAAAAGAUUGAUGUCUUCUCCCAAGUGUAGGAGUAUCAAAGUAAUAAAUAACCCGGCAAGAACGGGGUCGAACCACAAGGAGGUUAAUUGUAUAAAUUAUAAAAAAACAAUAAUACACAACAACAAUAACAACAACAACAGUAAUAGUAGUAGUAGUAGUAGUAGUAAUAAUAAUAAUAAUAAUAAUAAUAACAAUAAAGAAGAGGAAGAGGAAGAGGAAGAGGAAGAGGAAGAGAAAGAGGAAGAAGUUGAUGAGAAUUUUAAUAUGGAAGAUCAAUGUGAGAAUUAAACAAUAAUAAAAACAAGUGUCAAGGUUAGAGGAUCUACUAAUGGUAUUUCAAACAAGUAUAGUAUAAACUCUUAUUACUCAACUGGAAACCACAAACAAAGGAGGUUCCAAUCGGAUGAUUUGUCAUUAAUACAUUAUAAAUUAUUAACAUGAUCAUAUUAAUUAUCUUAUUUAUGUAACACCAAACUUUUAAAUAUUGUCAGGAAUUCAUGAUGCUAACUUAUGUUAACAACAAAUCAAGUUCCUUUCAUAGCACAGGUGUAUACCAUACGGUUGGGCUAUGAGAGUGCCAAGCAUUUGUUGUCCCAGGUGUUAUACAACACAAAUCUAGAUUAACCAUUUAACAAGCAAGGUAUUAAGAAUUAGUAAGAUAAAAAGAUAAGACAUGUUAAUAUUAAACAUUAAGGUCCAUGUUGAGUUUACACUAUACUUAUUCUUACACCAUUAGUGUAACAUUUUCACCUUGACAUAAUAAACUUAGCUAAACAUAAUGAAGAAGAGAAACAUAAAUAAACUAAACAAGAACAUAAAUAAGAUACAAGUUAACUAAGGAAAGGAAAGGAAAUGAAAAGCAUAAACAAGAUAUUAAUGAAAGCAAAACUUAAGAAUUACAAAAAACUAUAAAGAGAGAGAGGAAGAGAAAGUUUUUGAUCUGAACAAUCAAGCCCCCAAAUGCAUAGAAAAUGCCUCCUUUUAUAGGCUAAAAUUCAGAAUUAUUGAUUUGAUGACUAAUUGUUGAGUGGGUGACCAACUCUUGACUUGGUAAAAAUCCUUAUCUUCUUGUCUAAAUAAAACGAAAAUGCUAGCAUCAGAAAUGGGUCCACUUGACACAUGAAAGUUGUAGUAAAUUGUCUUAGCUUUCCAGGAAAAAAAAUGGAGGUCAUUUGGACUUCUAGAACUCGAGAUAUGGGCAUAACACUAAACAGUGUCUGGGUUGCAGGACAGAUUCAGACUUCUACGUUGUUGCUAUAAUUUAGACUUGAAAACGGCCUUAUUAGAUCUUGGCCUCCACAUGAAAGUUGUAGGCCUAUGUCUUACUUAAUCGGUGUAAAAAGUUGAGAUCAUUUGGACAUCUAGAACUCGAGAUAUGACCCAAUUACCAAACAACGUUCUAGUUUGGACUGCACCAACAUCUCUUUUCUAAGUUUGGCCCUCUCUUUGUCCUUUCAAUUUCAAUACUUGAACUCAUCAAUCAAUCCUUUCAUUUAUGUGAUAGGCCUACAUUUAAGAUGAACAUUUACCAUAUAUUAAGGCAUUUUAUAGUAUCAUACUUGUUAUUAUAAAACAUGCUUUAGUUAAGGAGUUAUUGAUACUUCAAGUGCAAAAUGAUGAUAUAAAACCUUGAUAAGCAUGCAAUUUUAAGUACAUCACACCUCCCAACCAGCUUAUUACUAGUCCCUAUUAAUCAAAAGCGUUAAAAUAGAGAAACAAUUUGCAAGUUCCACAAAGCAAGGCAUUCAUCAUUCAACUUCCAUUAAUCUAUCCAGAUAAACAAACUCUCAUUAAAUUUAUAUUCCUGCUUCAUACUUCUUAAACAAGAUAUUAAUAAACCUUCUUUUUAUGUGCUCAAUAUAUGAAAACAUAGAUGAUGGGGCUUUUGUUGGAAGAAAACAAUAUUAUGUUCAAAUGUUUAAGGUGAACUUCCUUGGGUUGGGAUUAUUAUUAUUAUUAUUUUUCUUUUUUUUUUUUUUUUUUUUUUUUUUUUUUUAUUUAUUUAUAUACACAUACAACUUAAAACACAAUGUAUCUUUAACCCAUGUAACGAGUUUUAGGCUAAUGACUCCCAGACCAGUUGGUCUUAGGGCAUUAGGUGUUGAGACACCCCUACGAGCUUACAACUCGGGUUGCAGAUACUGAUACGUAGAUAGUGCAAUGUUUGAUUCCCUUAAGCUUUUCUCCUUAACCCAUGUAACAAGCUUUGGGCCAAUAGCUCCCAAGUCAGUUGACUUUAGGGUAUUAGGUGUUAAAACACCCCUUCGGGCUUAAUUGCUUAGGUUAGGGAGGCUACGAAACCAAACUUAUCUACGUUUUUAUUAUCAUCAAUAUUAUCAUUUUUUUUUUUGCAAAUUAUAUACUAUCCCUUUCCCUUAGUUGUUACCUUCAACAAAAGAACAUAAAUAAUGUAAUAAUCCAAUGUGCAACCCACAAUCAUAUGUUAAAGUGUGUGUGUGAAAAUGAAGGUUUAAGAAUACUUGUUAAAUGAGUAUAUGAAGCAGAAUCAAGUGAUAACAAUGUGAGAGUUUGUAAACCUGAAUAUUUCAAGAAGUAUUAUGAUAGACCUUGGUAAUGAUACUUACUAAGAUGCAUCUCAAGAGUCAAUAAAAUUUCCUCCUUGCUCUGCCAUCCUAAUAAGGAUACUUACUAAGAUGAGUCUCAAGAGUUAAUAAAACUGACUUCUUACUCUGCCAUCUUAAUAACAAUUUUGUCAAAUGGUUUUAAUAAUAGCAAAAACAGUUAGUAAGUUAGUGUUUUUUUUAAACUACUACCCUCUCCCCCCAACCAAAACGAGACAUUGUCCUCAAUGUCCUAAGGUAGAAAGAUAGAGUAUAGAAGACAUCACCUGAAACAGCGAACAAUGACAAACUGAAACACACUUAAACAAAUAUAAGAAGUAACAAAACAAAAUAAUAUGUUAUUAAUAAAAUCAAAAGACACAAGGUUUCACAGAUGAAGGCUCAAAUCUAAUCUAAGCUUUUUACAGCUUUCCUUGACCAAUUUAGGCGACUCAUGCAGGGAUCAAUGACAGGGAUGAAAGAUUGUAGUUGGUCAAUCAAUUGUUCAGCAGUAGCAGCAGAGAUUAUGAUUUGUCGUGCCGAAGAUGUUAGAAAUUCCUGUUCCACAGCUUGAUCAAGGAAAGACAACAGCUUAUCAUAAAAACCAUUAACAUUUAACAAACCUAUAGGUUUAUGGUGAAUGUGCAGUUGGGCCCAAGAUAAAAUAUGAAAGAUCUCUUCCAAUGUGCCCAGGCCACCUGGUAAGGCAAUGAAGGCAUCAGCAUGGUUAAACAUGGUAUUCAGUCGAUCAGACAUUGUGGAGACCUGUAGUUCCUCUCCAAUUGUUUUUCCAAUGAUGUCCCCAUUUGCUAAAGCUUUGGGGACAACCCCCAAAACUUGACUGCCUCCUAAAAAUGCAGCCAUUAACACACCUCCCAUUAACCCAAGGCUGCCUCCCCCAUACACUAAAUGAAUCUUUCUCUCAGCUAGUACCCGACCAAGAUGAUUUGUUGAUUCUAAAAACUCUUUUUCUUUUCCAGGACUGGAUCCACCACAAACACAAAUAUUUCUUAUGUGAUGACUUGAGGAACCUGCCAUUUCUACACACUUCUAUAUUUGAUGAAUGUAUGGGUUGAGUAGAAAUGAAGGGAAGAAAGAGAAGAAUUUAUAGAUGAGAAUUUAAAAAUGUAAUCAUACAACCUACAUGUAGGCUAAUUGUUGUAUCACACUCUCUCUCUUUAUUUAUUUAUUUUGACAAAGCAUGUAUGUACAGGUAGUUGUGAUUGUGGCUCACAUCUUCCCUUGGUUUUACGUCCAAGAACGGCUUAAACGCCCUCUAUGGGUCGGGGAUAGGCUUCCCAUCCAGUUUUCUUAAAAACUGGCAAACAGGGUCUUUUUUAGUCAGAUUCCCAAGACUAAGUCGAUCAUGUUCUUUAUGGAAUUGUGGCCAUAAAUCAUGAAUUACACGAUGCACAUCUCCACUAGGAUGCGUCUCAAGGGUCAACAAAAGAUUAUCUAAAGACCCCUUACUCAGGCCAUCCUUAAUGAAUUGUAUUUUAUCUUCACGGUUUACAGAUACCAUUCCUAAAGAACGACAUGUCGCAUUACAAGUCCAUCUAGCACAUCUGUGACAGACUUUCAGUUGUUUUGCAAGACGUUUCUUUGCAAAAGUGCUUGUACCUGUUCCAGGCAUGUGUGAAAUGAAAGAAUUGGAGGACUCACCUGAUAAUCGGACCUUUGCUUCAAUUAGCCAGCGAAUAUCUUCAGGAAUUCCAUGAUUCAUUAACAACCUCAAUCUUGCACACCUAGCACGGUAAAUUUUUGUAAUCGCAUUUGAGGCAAAGCGGGAAAAUACCUUUUCAACUUUUCAAGAGUGGUGUCCAUUUUCAAAUGAGAAUUGGGGAAAAGAUUCAAAGAAGGGAGAAAGAGCAGAGAAUUGUACAAAUAUAUACAGAUAUCAGUUAUUUGGGAAACUGAAAGAACCGACUUAAGUCACGGAGUACCGUUAUCCGCCAUUUGACCAGGGUGAGAGAGACUAGCAAAACAAAAGAUACCAAAACAUAACACAAAACAAUGUGAGAAAAAGAAUCAAUCUUUAUAUACAGGAUCACUCAAUUCAAUAGAGUCAUUUUCAACUGAAAAAUUGUCAAAAUAAACUUUCAAACGAUGCCCAUUUACCUUGAAAACAUUGCCAUUCUUUGGAUUCUCGAUAUCACAGGCCCUAUAUGGAUACACAUGUUUCACAAUAAAAGGACUGCUCCAUCUUGAUCUUAGUUUUCCAGGAAAUAAAUGGAGUCGAGAAUUAUAAAGCAAGACUUUUUGACCAACAUUGAAUGUUUUUCUUAGUAUUUUCUUGUCAUGAAAGUCUUUGAUUCUUGCUUUAUGAAUUCUUGAAUUGUCAUAUGCAUCAUUUCUUAUUUCCUCAAGCUCAUUUAUUUGCAAUUUUCGCAGCUGACUAGCAUCAUCAAGGUUUGAAUUGAAAGCUUUAAUAGCCCAAUAAGCUUUAUGUUCAAUUUCCACAGGCAAGUGACAAGGUUUUCCAUAGACUAGUCUAUAAGGUGACAUACCUAAUGAUGUUUUAUAAGCAGUUCGAUAAGCCCAAAGUGCAUCAUUAAGUCUUAAAGACCAGUCUUUCCUAUUAGGGUUCACUGUUUUCUCCAAGAUUUGUUUGAUCUCCCUAUUAGCAAGCUCUACUUGUCCACUUGUCUGAGGGUGAUAAGGGGUGGCAACUUUGUGUGUGAUUCCAUAUUUCUUCAUUAAAGAAUCAAAUGGCUUGUUGCAGAAAUGUGUUCCACCAUCACUUAUCAUGGCUCGAGGGAUUCCAAAUCGACUCAAAAUAUUUUCUUUCAAAAACUUUAUCACUGUUUUGUGAUCAUUGUUCGACUUGGAAUUGCCUCUAUCCAUUUUGAAACAUAAUCUACUGCGACUAAUAUGUACAAGAAACCAAAUGAUGGAGGAAAUGGACCCAUGAAAUCUAUACCCCAACAGUCAAAGAUCUCAAUGACAAGAAUAGGAUUUAAAGGCAUCAUGUGACGUUUUGAAAUAGAUCCCAACUUUUGACAAUUUUCACAAGUCUUGCAGAAUGCAUGUGAGUCCUUGAACAUGGUGGGCCAGUAAAAUCCACUUUGUAAGAUUUUUGCAGUUGUCUUUUUUGAGAAAUGACCCCCACAUGCCUCAGAAUGACAAAAUUUAAUGACACUACUUACCUCAUUGUCAGGAAUGCAUCUUCGAAAUAUUUGAUCAGGACAAUAUUUGAAUAAAUAAGGGUCAUCCCAAUAAAAGUUCUUCACUUCGUUCAAGAACUUUCUUUUGUCUUGGGUACUCCAAUGAGCUGGCAAUUGUCCUGAAACAAGAAAAUUAACAAUAUUAGCAAACCAAGGCAUCGUAGAGACGAAAGUAAAGAUUCAUCAGGAAAGUAGUCAUCGAUUGGUGUGAUGUCAGAUCUUAAUCGUUGUCAAUCUUGACAAAUGAUCCGCAACAACAUUUUUGGUGGCUUUCUCUGCUUUGAUUGUGAUAUCAAAUUCUUGAAGUAACAAAAUCCAUCACACCAAUCUAACCUUAGAAUCUUUCUUAGAAAGAAGAUAUUUUAAUGCUGCAUGAUCACUAAAAACAACAACAGGUGAGCCAACAAGAUAAGACCUGAAUUUUUCACAUGCAAAUACUACUGCAAGUAAUUCUUUUUCAGUGGUAGUGUAAUUCAUUUGAGCACUAUUUAAAGUUUUACUUGCAUAGUAAAUCACAUAAGGUUUCUUAUCUUUUCUUUGUCUCAAGACAACACCCACGGCAUAAUCACUAGCGUCACACAUUAUUUCAAAAGGUAAUGACCAAUCAAGAGGUUGAAUGACAGGAGCAGAAGUAAGCAAGUUUUUAAGUUUAACAAAGGCUUCUUCACAAUGUUCAGUCCAUUCAAAAAUAUUAUCCUUUGUUAGAAGGUUACUCAAUGGCUUAGAUAUUACACUAAAAUCUUUGAUGAACCUUCUGUAAAAACCAGCAUGUCCUAAGAAUGAUCUAACAUCUUUAACAGAUUUUGGUGUUGGUAAGUUGGCAAUUAACUCGAUUUUAGAUUUGUCAACCUCAAUUCCUUUCGAUGAAACAAUGUGACCAAGUACAAUGCCGUUUGUUACCAUAAAGUGACAUUUUUCCCAAUUCAGUACAAGAUUCUUCUCUUCACACCUGCUCAAAACCUUUUCUAAGUUAGUCAAACAAUCAUCAAAUGAAUCAGAAAAAUCAUCCAUAAAAAUUCAAGAAAACGUUCAACCAUAUCACUGAAUAUGCUAAGCAUGCAUCUUUGAAACGUGGCUGGUGCAUUACAUAAUCCAAAAGGCAUCCUUCGAUAUGCAAAAGUACCAAAUGGACAUGUGAAAGUAGUCUUCUCUUGAUCUUCCAAUGCAAUUUCAAUUUGAUUGUAACCUGAAUAGCCAUCUAGGAAAAAUAAAAUUCAUGACCUGCAACUCUUUCUAGGAUUUGAUCCAUGAAAGGUAAAGGGAAAUGAUCUUUUCUAGUCAUUGAAUUAAGUUUCCUAUAGUCAAUGCACAUGCGCCAACCAGUAAUAGUCCUAGUUGGAAUUAACUCAUUUUUCUCAUUUGUUAUCACAGUGACUCCAGACUUUUUGGGUACAACUUGGGUAGGACUUACCCAUUUGCUGUCAGAAAUAGGAUAAAUGAUUCCAUUAUCUAGAAGCUUAAUGACUUCAUUUUUCACUACUUCUUUCAUAUUAGGAUUAAGCCUUCGUUGCAUUUCUCUAGAGGUUUAGCAUUUUCCUCCAAAUAAAUCUGUGUGUGCAAAUCAAAGGGCUAAUUCCUUUUAUGUCAGCUAUGGUCCAUCCUAAUGCAUUUUUGUGCAUUUUCAGAGUCUGUAAUAACUUACCUUCUUGAUGUGCAUUAAGUUUGGAAGAGAUUAUUACCGGAAAAGUUUCAUUUUCUCCCAAAAAUGAGUAUUUGAGAUUAAAUGGUAACGGCUUCAAAUCAGGUUUUGGUGGUUGAACACUUGAAGGUAUGGGCUCAAUUGAUCGUGGUGGCAAUUCUUCAAUUUGUGGUCUCCAAUUGCAUGCCUUUGAUUCUUCCUGAAAAUAGACCAUUUGCAAAUCAUCAGAUUCAUCAAUCUCAGUUUCACUAGAAGUGGUUUGAAAUUGAUCAUGAACUAAUUUUUCAAUAAAGUCCACUUCCUGUAAAUCAUUAUCAUCUCCAGGUUGCUUGUAAAUGUUGAAAAUAUUCAUCUCCAAUGUCAUGUUUCCAAAUGAUAGCUUCAUCAGUCCAUUCCUACAAUUAAUCAAUGCAUUAGAAGUGGCAAGAAAUGGACGUCCUAAAAUGACAGGAAUUGAAUUACAUGCUUCAACAGGUUGUGUAUCCAAGACAACAAAAUCCACAGGGUAAAUGAAUUUAUCAACUUGUACUAACACAUCCUCAACUAUUCCUCUAGGCACUUUUACAGAUCUAUCAGCAAGUAAAAGAGUUACAGAGGUUGGUUUUAACUCACCUAGAUUGAGACUUUGAAAAACUGAAUAUGGAAGUAAAUUCACACUAGCUCCAAGAUCAAGUAAGGCUCUUUCAAUUUUAUGUUCUCCAAUAAAGCAAGAAAUUGUAGGACAACCAGGGUCUUUAUAUUUCAAAGCAUUAUUGUUCUGAAGAAUGGCACUUACUUGUUCGGCUAAAAAGGCUUUCUUUUUCACAUUCAGUUUUCUCUUCACAGUGCACAGAUCUUUCAAAAAUUUAGCAUAGGAAGGAACCUGUUUAAUAGCAUCCAACAAAGGUAUAUUGAUCCUUACCUGUUUGAAAGUUUCAAAGAUUUCAGAGUUGUGAUUGACUUUCCUUUGUUUGGUCAUGGCAUGAGGAAAUGGAAGUGCUGGCGGGGAAUCAGCCUUUUCUUUGCAAUGUUCAGGUUCAACCCCUUCCUUACCCUCAGAGAUAGACUCAUCAUCUUUCUCACAAGGUUCAAGAGUGGGUUUUUCAAUAACCUUACCACUACGAAGAGUGAUGACUGAUUUGACUUGAUCCAUGUGUUGGCUUCCAGAACUACUUGCAUUUGCAUUGUAUUGCCCUUUGGAUUUUGCUGUGGUUGAGAUGGAAACUUACCUUUCUCUUGAAAACUGAGAGCAGAUGUUAAUUUUGCAAGAGUAUCUUUAAAAUCUGUCAUGCUUUGAGCAAGUUGAGUGUUGAUUGUCUCCUGCUUUUCAAUGAAUGCAUGCAAUGUUUCCUCAAGAUUUCUUCUAGGAGGUGGAGCAUAAGGAGGUGCAUAUCCAUGAGAAUUUUGGAAAUUAUGGUGUGCUUGAAACGGUGGCUGUGAAGUUUGUGCAUUAUUGCUAUCACUCUUCCAACUGAAAUUUGGGUGAUUUCUCCAACCAGGGUUAUACGUUUGUGAGUAUGGGUUAUGGUUGGGCCUUUGGAAACUGUUUAAAGCAUGGGCUUGUUCAUGGAGGCAUUCCUUAAAAGAAGGCAAAGUUGGACAAUCAUUGUUGAGUGUUCAUUGUUUCACAGAUUUGACACACAAUGUCUUGAACAGAUUUUAAUUGACCACUCUUUUUUAAUUCUAGUGCUCGACUUUUCUAGCUAAAGAUGCAAACUUGGCUUGGAGGUCAUGAUCUUCCCUAAGGUUGUGCAUACCUCCACUAGAUGUAUGAGGUUGAGUUUUACUUGGUGCCUCAUAAGUACCUGUGGUGUCCCAAUUUUGAGCAUUUUCGGCUAGCAAGUCUAGGUACUCCAUUGCUUCAUUAGGGUCUUUAUCUUCAAAAGUUCCAUUGCACAUCAAUUCAACCAUUUGCCUAUCUCUAGGUGUUAAACCUUCAUAAAAAUGUGAAACCAAUCUCCAUGUUUCAAAACCACGAUGAGGGCAAGUAUUAAGCAAAUCUCGAUACCUAUCCCAACAUUGGUAAAAUAUUUACCUAUGCUGUUAAACUGGAAUUGAGCUCACAGUUGGGGUAACUUCAAAGAAGACUAAUGCACCAUGCACAAGAGGCUAGUAGUUAUUUGGUUCCAUUAGGAGAUGUGUAGGCGAUGAACAAUUAACAGUGCAACUGAACAAGAACAAAGGUUGUCAUUAGUUGAUGACUGAAGGCAUUGUUGUUGGUGUCCAUGACUGAAAAGGAGAGGUGCAGCUUCAAUUGGAUGUGGACAAGCAAUGUUCCCAUCGAAAUCUAUGCAGACAUUCUCUUUCCAUUUGAUGCUCAACACUUGUUCUAGGAGAUCUGAGUCUAGCUACUUCACCUUUGAUGCUCUCAACCUCAUUUUGAUACUGAGCCUCUAUCUGACAUUGAUUAGUACUUAAAAGUGCAUGUUUAUUGUCGCACCCCAAAAAAAAAUCAGCGCGCGGCAUCGGCUGGCGAUUUUUUGUCUCGUUGUUGUUUGCUUGAAUUUGGUUCGUUGGAGUCGCCACCUAGUAAUUGAUUUCGGGCUACUAGGAAACCGGAUGUACUGGUCUUGUCAGAGAUUCGCAAGUAAGGAACUGGUUGUGGUUAGGGAAGGUAUUAGCACCCCUAACGCACCCUACCUGAGGUAAGCUGCUUCGUGGCUUUGACGUGUUAAAGAAGUUUUAAUAAUUGUCUUUUCAUCGGAAAUUAGAAAUAUCACUUACGUAUAAGUUAAUAAUUCUUAACCGUGAUCCGAUCAAAAAAUUAAAUUCUUCUUUAAUAUAUUUGCAAUUUUAUCAUUCAAAACUAUAUACAAAUAAAUAAAACAAAAAUACAAGCACACACAUACACUUUCACUAUUUUAUUUUUGUUUCUUUUCUUUUCUUUUUCUUUUUCUUUUCUUUUCUUUUACAUCCAUAUUUACAUAAAUAUAAAUUACAAAUUCAAAAUAAAUAAAUAAAAAUACACCAACACACACAUCCUUUUUUUAUUAUUAUUUUCUUUUCUUUUCUUCUUUUUUUUCUUUUACAUUCACAUAUUACAAAUUUAAAAUAAAUAAACAAAAAUUACAUUAAAACUUUAAUAUUUACAAAAUAGUCCCUAAGAAAUCCAUAAAUUGCAGGGAAGGACUUCUGCACCCGCAUGAAUAGUUCCGGCGCGACUUCCCACGCGCCACCGCCACUGGCGGCGCGUGGGUUCACGCGCCGCCCAGAAAUUCAGGCGGCGUGAGGGGGCUGCAAUGGCUUCCUCCCCUCUUCAAUCUCCUGCUGCCCGUCACCUGCAAAACAAACAACAACACAAUCGGCAGUCGAUUUUAAUUUUUCUUUUGGUCCGGAUCCGUGUUCGUGUCUCCUCUAUUUCGGAUCUGUUUUGGUUCUCCUUUUCAGAGCUGCUCCCUCUUUUAAUCCUUUCAUCUUUUGGGUUCUGCAGCGCCAUUGCGUGUUCUCGUCCGGCUGGUUGAAGAUCGAAGAAGUGGCUGGUGGCUGGAGGCGGACAGAACUGAAAUCUGUCGGCGCCGCUAUGUCGGGGUAGCCGCUGGAGGUCGUUGGGUCUACGGGGAUGAGGGAGGAGCUGUGUGCGGGGUGGUCGGUCCACAGUGUUUGAGAAAGCAGAGGACGAAGGAGCGGCGCUGCUGUGGUGGACGACGCUGCUUCGCCGUUGCUGUUGAGGGAGAAGGCUGGUCUCCGUCCGGUUCGCCUUUCGCUCCUGCAACUGAGAAGGUAAAUGGGCUGUUGUGGUCCAAAAGCUAAAGGAAAAUGGGGGAAAGAGGAGUGAAAUUAAGGGCUGUGUCGAUGGCUCUGUGUUGAUGAAUGGUGGCGGUUUCUUCGUGGGCUGAGUUUGGCUGGCGAGAAGAAGGAGAACCGGCGAUGGGGCUGUUUGGGUCGUGAGCGGGCGAAGGGAGAAGAAACCGAAAAUGGUGUAGGGGAAAAGGGGAAAGUCUCAGGUGGCCGGCCUCUGGUUUCUCUUUGGCCGAGGACUGUAUUGAAAGUUGAAAAAUCAGAGGCCACGGGGGGGCGGCGCCUGCCUUGAAAAAAAAUGGGUUUUAGGUUUAGGUUUUGUGUUUUUUUUUUUUGUGAUAUUUCAAAAUUGCCCCCCCUUGCAAGUGUUGGAAACCAGUAUUUAUAGACAAAAAAUGUUGCCAAGUUUUUCAACUUGGUCCCUCAACUUCUUUCUUUUUGUAAAUUUUGAUUUUUCUUAUUUUUUUGAAAACGAGCAAUAUCAACGUCGACUCAAAUGCGGAAAAUCAAUGAUUUUAAAAAUGACGCGUGAAAAGUCGAACGCAUUUGAAAAUAUUUUAACAAUUUAAAUUCUUUUUUUAGACGACGUUGAAAAUGCUAAAAUGACGAAAAUAUAUUAAAAAAUAUAUUUUUUUGGAUUUUCUUUGUUUUUCUCAAUUUUUUGGAUUUUUUAAAAAUAUAUCAAAACAUGGGUCAAAAAUUGGGUAGCAACAGAUGCCCCCUCUUUACAAUGCUUACGAAGCAAAACUCCUUAAAAUUUUGCAUUGUAAGCUUUGUAAAGAAAACAAAAGGAAAAUGAUUUUAUUAUCUUGGGCGACCUGCCCACACACUCACACUGAUCUAUUUUUCACGGGCGACUUGCCCACACAUACUCACUCUGGUCUAUUUUCACGGGCGACCGACCCACACUCUCCCAAUAGUCUAUUUUCACGGGCGACCUGCCCACACAUUGGGUUUACCUGAGAUCCCAUCUGGCGACCUCAUUCAACUGGAACGAAAAUAUUGUGUAACUCGGUUAACCUGAAAUCCCAUCUGGCGAUUCUCUUUAACCAAAGCUACAUGAGAUCCCAUCUAGCGACCUCAUUUAACCAAAACAAAAGAAUGUGUGAAAAAUGGUCUCGUUGUAUGGGUGACGAACCCCAGAAAAAUGAUGGUCUCAUUGUAUGGGUGACGAACCCAAGAAAAAUGAUGGUCUCAUUGUAUGGGUGACGAACCCCACGUGGAAACAAAUAUGAAGUGUGGUCUCAUUGUAAUGGGUGACCUACCCAGAUGGAAAAAAUAUGAUGAAGUGCGGUCUCAUUGUCAUGGGUGACCUACCCGUGGAAAAAAUGUGACAUGACAAGUGUGAAAAAUAGGACUUACCUGGCGAAGUUCUGAAGGGAUGACAGAAGAAAAGGCUGGAAAACUUGGUGCUUCCUGAUAAUUCUCGAUCAUAGGGUUUGAAAACUCGGUGUUUCCUGACUGCAAGGGUUGAAAACUCGAGGCUUCCCGAUUGCAAGGUUGAUCUUUUCAUUUCUUUGGGAUUUUCUUAAGGGUAGGUUUAUCCCAUCUCUUUUAUUCCAUGAUCAAAACCGAUUCUUUAUUAUUAUCACCACCAUGCUUCUUCUUUUUCCACCAUCUUGCUGGACCUCAUUAAGGAUUUUCCUGUAACAAUUAAAAAAUAUGUGCAAUUUUUUUUUUUUUUAGGUUAGAUGAUAUGCAUGCAUCCUUACCUGAUUUGAAAUAAUAGGUCCCCAUUUCUUCAUGGUGUGUUUCUUUUCUCAAAGUUGGAGUGUUGGCAGUGAACUUCGAUGGCUUCUUCGCUCUUGCUUACUCGAGUCAUCUCUUGUGAUUUUGACCUCUAGGAAAGACUUGAUAUCAUCACUUCUUUGUCCUCCGCUCUUUAUCUCAAGGGUUGCCAAUUUUGCUCGACAUUUUCUUAGAAUGGGAAUCAUGGAGCCAGCCCUAUCAUAUGUUUCUUUAUUGCCCCCUAGCUUGAUCAUGCCCCCAAGUGUUCAAUUGGUUUGGGGAUGAGGCUAUGUGAAGGAAGGUUUGACAAGGAGUGUUUUCAUGCAGAAUUUUUGGAAUUCCAAAGUAUUCCAACACAGAAAUCAUUUUGACAUCGAUUCAAAGCAAACUCAUUCUGAAGAAAUUCAAGUGUUUCCUAUGGAGAGGUUAUCAGAAGUGAUGAAAACCCAUUUUUUUUUUUUGGCUUUUGGUAAAAAAAAAAUAUAUGAAGUGACAUCUGGUUUGUCAGAAAAGGUUUAAAUUUCAAUUUGAGGGUUAUUGAGAACCGAGGUUCAAAGCAUUUAUUUUAUUUGCAUGAAUAAUGAUUUGGUUCACAUGAGAAAGCAUUGCCUACCGAUCCAGAUUGCUUGCCUUUGAUCAGAAAGGGCUUGAUUAGGCACGUAAUGUAGGCUUGGGCUCUUGGUUAUGAAGAAAAUGAUAUUUGUAGGCUCAAAAGGUGUUUAAGGGAUUUGAAGACUAAGGAUCACUUGUGCUUGUUUCUUGACCUUUUGUCAUUUGACUGUCUUUCGAAAAUUGUUUAUCGUGCCCCCUUGUGUUGGGCUCGGGCUUGUUCUCUUUAUUUUUGUUUUCUUCAUAUGGUUUUGAGCAUCAUUAUAUUGUUUUUUUAUAUAUUUUUUUAUAUAUGCUCAAAACUUUCGGAUCCUUUGGAUUUUUCUUCAUGCCUCCUAGCUUUGUUUGGGCACCUUUGAUGAUUGAGAAUUUUCUUUUAUGCCCCCUAGUAUUGCUUGGACACUUUCGAUCAUUGAGGUUUUCUCUAUGUCAUCGCACUUGCCCCCAGUGUGGGGUGUGAUCCUAGCCAAGGUUAUUUAUCUCAAGAAAAGCAUAAGGCUCAAAAAGGGACUGCAAAUGAUAUAUUUUAGCCUCGUGAAAAGAUUAUCAAAGAUGGCCUUUCUUCAUUUCAAACUCAUGCAUUUAGGAUCGGUAAGCCUUACUUUCAUGCGAGUAUGCAAAGUGAUUUCUCAUUAUUCAUGCAAUCAAAACUCAGCUUUAGAGUCACUUCAUGGUGUUUGUUUGUUUUUUUUUUUUUUGGGUUUUUCUAGGUGUGUGGUUACCUUUCUAAGGAAUCACCUGAAUUUUCAGAACUCGUUUGCUUUGGACAAACAUCAACAUGAUUUCAGUUUCUGUACUAAACUUUGAAUUCCCAAAAAUCCUUGUGAACAUGUGCGAUCAUGCAUAGUUUUGAAAAAAUAGGAAACACACCCCAAAGAUUCUUUGUGAUGGUUUCAUGCUUAAAGGUUAUACUCAAUAUGCUCUUUGUAUGAAACAACAACAAAAUUGAAGGUAUAUCAUGAACACAGGAAAACACAUGAUCUUAUUAACAAGAAAAGGCUGAUUUGAUAGGGAAAGUUUUUUUAUUUUAUGAAAUUUAGAGCCAAAUUACCAACAAAACUGGAACAGGUUGAAACAAAAAUGAAGAAAUUUUGCAGGAAUGAUCAAACUAAGGUAUUUUUUUUUUUUUUGCAGAAUAGGCUCCAUUAUGCACCGGUAGUGCAAUUCCCUUUGGCCAGCCUUCCCACCAAAGCUUUUGCAGAAAUACAUGAUUGUGUUAAGGCUCUUCACCAAAGUUUGCCCCCAAUUUCUUCGGGCAGAGUCAUUGUUGGGUUUUGAACAAAGAUGAUAGGUCGGUUGGAAGGAACUUUCCUAGAGUUAUUUUUCAGUAUCUACCCGAGUAAGCUAGAAGCAAGUCACACAUGUCUUCAAAAAUUACAACGAGCAUACUCUUCAUCUUCCGAGUUUUUCUUCAUUCAAAGUCGGGUGUUGUAGACUCGUAGGGGACCUACUUUUCAUUCUGGUGCAUGCAUGACAAAUGUAUGAACAUGUAAUCUAUAUGAUGAACUCACCCUUCGAGAGGUGACAAUAUGGUCGUAACUCUUGUAUGAUGGAGCAAGAAUCGUGAUUUUCGCCCAAACUUUACAAUGAAAAUUUUCGGAGUGACGGCCAAUGUGUCACCCACAAGUCUUGAGUUCAAGAUGCUUCAAGAAGGGUUUGCCCUUAUGCAAAAACGAUAGCACAUACAACUAAGGACAGUUCUAUUUAUUAUGUGAACAUGGGUAAGUUUUCUAUCUGGUCUCAAAAGGGUCUCAUAUCUGCCCAGUGACGUUCUUCGUAAAGACAGUAUGGGGGCGUUGCAAGGAAUGGUUAAGGCACGUAUACCCACCAUUACCAAGCAGGCACUCAGAUAUGAGUUGGGUGUUUCACGCAUCUGAACCCUGACCAAUAGUCUUAGGGCAGAUCGCUAGUUCCCCACCUAACCUAGAAGCUUGUGUGUGCUUUCAAAAAUAAAUACAGGUGAUGCAUGAGACAAUUCUAUAAAAUGCAUGGAAAAAAUAUUAACAAAAAGAUAAAAAUGCAAAAAACUUAAACACAUCAAAUACACAAAGCUUAGUCCAAUAAUGUCAGAAACAGUACCUUCCCCAGUGGAGUCGCCAUUCUGUCGCACCCCAAAAAAAAUCAGCACGCGGCAUCGGCUGGCGAUUUUUCGUCUCGUUGUUGUUUGCUUGAAUUUGGUUCGUUGGAGUCGCCACCUAGUAAUUGAUUUCGGGCUACUAGGAAACCGGAUGUACUGGUCUUGUCAGAGAUUCGCGGGUAAGGGACUGGUUGUGGUUAGGGAAGGUAUUAGCACCCCUAACGCACCCUACCUGAGGUAAGCUGCUUCGUGGAUUUGAUGUGUUAAAGAAGUUUUAAAAUUGUCUUUUCAUCGGAAAUUAGAAAUAUCACUUACGUAUAAGUUAAUAAUUCUUAACCGUGAGAUCAAAAUAUUAAAUUCUUCUUUAUUCUUGCAAUUUUAUCAUAAAAAAAACAUACAUAAAUAAAUAAAUGAAAAUCAAAACACACACUCACUUUUACUAUUUUUGUUUUUUCUUUUCUUUUCUUUUCUUUUCUUUCCUUUUCUUGUACAUCCACAUUUACAAAGUACAAAUUAUAAAAAAGUAAAAAAUAAACAAAUAUUACAUUAAACAAACUUAAAGUUACAAAAAAAACAACCACUCAAACAGAAUCAGGAACAGUGCAGGGCGGAAUAGUGGCGGCGCGUGGGUUCACGCGCCGCCACAAGAAAAAGCUAGCAAUAGGGGGGAUCUGGAUCGACUUCUUCCCCCCUUCUUUUCCUCGCCGAAGGUGACAACCAUGACCUGCAAACACAACAGAAAAGGCAACCAAGGCAGUUGAUUUUCAUUUUGUUUCACUGAUUUCAGAUUUGCCUCUCUCCAUGCAGCUCCCUUUCUUUUCAUCUUCUCUCCUUCUUUGUUUCAGGCGCUCGGCGGUGUGACCAAAGGGUUGGUGGUGAUUGGGUCUUUGUCAUGCUUGUGUAGCUGGUGGUGGUUGGCGAGUCUGGAGAGAGGGAACGCUGGAGGUGGAUGUUCACGGUGGCUGAUAGGAGAACAUAUUCUACACACGCCACCGACAAACCAAACAUGUGGAGGAUCGACGGCUUCCCUCCUCCUACUUCAUUUCUGCACCGGCACGUCAUCCACCGCUGCCUUGGUUGGGAGAUUGGUGCGCUGUGGUGGGGUCUGUCGGUGGAGACCGGUCUUGGCGGGCUGGUCGGUUGAUAGAGAGGAAAGAACUGAUGAAGAUCGUAGCUGGGGGGAGAAGGGUGAUUGCCGGCUUGAUGUUCUAUCAAAGAGAAAGGGAGAGCGGUGGCUUGUUUUGUGGCUGAUUGUUGUGUCUGGUGAGGGGAGGAAGGUCGUCUGUAGCUGGUUGAGGGAGGAAAAAAAAAUCAGAAAGGGAGGGGGAGGGGUUGGCGGCUCCUUUUCGGUGAGGGAGAAGAAAAGUUCAGCCUUUUUUGGGGUUUUUUCAUUUUUUGUGUUGCCUCCCCAAAAAUAUGUUUUUUUCUUGUUUUUUUUUUAAAACGAGCAAUAUCAACGUCGAUUCAAUGAGGAAAAUCGAUGAUCUUAAAAAUGACGCGUGAAAAGUCGAACGCGUUCGAAAACCUUUGAAAAUUUAAUUUUUUUUAGAAGAAGUAAAAAAUGCUAAAAACGAUGCAAAUAUAUUAAAAACAUAUUUUUUGGAUUUUCAUUGUUUUUUUUUUGCUAUUUUUGGAUUUUUCAAAAAUUUUAUCAAAUAAGUGGGUCAAAAAUUGGGUAACAACAAGGAGCUUAUAGUUGGGUGCAUCAGUAGGGCAAUUCUGAUAAUUUUCAGCCUGAAGAAUCUGCUUAAGGUGUUUCCAACGGCCUCUUGGUUGUCCCUUUGGGUAUUUCUCAUAUAUCUGUAUCCUCUUGAAACUGAAGUGUGUUGGCAACACCAGCUCUGCAUUUAUCAACUCUGCUUCCAUCUUCUUCCUCUUCUAUAU
rnacentral:lncRNA from 1 species